UGGCUUAGGGAUACGUUCGUUGGGUAGGGGAGCGUUCUGUAAGCCGUUGAAGGUGGCCUGUGAGGGUUGCUGGAGGUAUCAGAAGUGCGAAUGCUGACAUAAGUAACGAUAAAGCGGGUGAAAAGCCCGCUCGCCGGAAGACCAAGGGUUCCUGUCCAACGUUAAUCGGGGCAGGGUGAGUCGACCCCUAAGGCGAGGCCGAAAGGCGUAGUCGAUGGGAAACGGGUUAAUAUUCCCGUACUUGGUGUUACUGCGAAGGGGGGACGGAGAAGGCUAUGUUGGCCGGGCGACGGUUGUCCCGGUUUAAGCGUGUAGGUGUGUGUUCCAGGUAAAUCCGGUUCACUUUAACACUGAGGCGUGACGACGAGGCACUACGGUGCUGAAGCAACAAAUGCCCUGCUUCCAGGAAAAGCCUCUAAGCAUCAGGUAACAUCAAAUCGUACCCCAAACCGACACAGGUGGUCAGGUAGAGAAUACCAAGGCGCUUGAGAGAACUCGGGUGAAGGAACUAGGCAAAAUGGUGCCGUAACUUCGGGAGAAGGCACGCUGACACGUAGGUGAAGUGAUUUACUCAUGGAGCUGAAGUCAGUCGAAGAUACCAGCUGGCUGCAACUGUUUAUUAAAAACACAGCACUGUGCAAACACGAAAGUGGACGUAUACGGUGUGACGCCUGCCCGGUGCCGGAAGGUUAAUUGAUGGGGUCAGCGCAAGCGAAGCUCCUGAUCGAAGCCCCGGUAAACGGCGGCCGUAACUAUAACGGUCCUAAGGUAGCGAAAUUCCUUGUCGGGUAAGUUCCGACCUGCACGAAUGGCGUAAUGAUGGCCAGGCUGUCUCCACCCGAGACUCAGUGAAAUUGAACUCGCUGUGAAGAUGCAGUGUACCCGCGGCAAGACGGAAAGACCCCGUGAACCUUUACUAUAGCUUGACACUGAACAUUGAGCCUUGAUGUGUAG
rnacentral:rRNA from 1 species